rnacentral:rRNA from 1 species
CGAGUGAAGCGGCAAAAGCUCAAAUUUGAAAUCUGGUACCUUCGGUGCCCGAGUUGUAAUUUGUAGAAGGUAACUUUGGGGCUGGUCCUUGUCUAUGUUCCUUGGAACAGGACGUCAUAGAGGGUGAGAAUCCCGUGUGGCGAGGAUCCCAGUUCUUUGUAAAGUGCUUUCGAAGAGUCGAGUUGUUUGGGAAUGCAGCUCUAAGUGGGUGGUAAAUUCCAUCUAAAGCUAAAUAUUGGCGAGAGACCGAUAGCGAACAAGUACAGUGAUGGAAAGAUGAAAAGAACUUUGAAAAGAGAGUGAAAAAGUACGUGAAAUUGUUGAAAGGGAAGGGCAUUUGAUCAGACAUGGUGUUUUGCGCCCUCUACUCCUUGUGGGUGGAGGAAUCUCGCAGCUCACUGGGCCAGCAUCAGUUUUGGCGGCAGGAUAAAUCUUCAGGAAUGUAGCUUGCCUCGGUAAGUGUUAUAGCCUGUUGAAAUACUGCCAGCCGGGACUGAGGACUGCGACUUUUAGUCAAGG